UACGAGGGGAGCAAGCGUUGUUCGGAUUUACUGGGCGUAAAGGGCGCGUAGGCGGCGUGACAAGUCACUUGUGAAAUCUCCGGGCUUAACUCGGAACGGUCAAGUGAUACUGUCGUGCUAGAGUACAGAAGGGGCAACUGGAAUUCUCGGUGUAGCGGUGAAAUGCGUAGAUAUCGAGAGGAACACCUGCGGCGAAGGCGGGUAGCUGGGCCGACACUGACGCUGAGGCGCGAAAGCCAGGGGAGCGAACGGG
rnacentral:rRNA from 1 species